AACAUGGCCUCCUUUGCCUCGCCUCCUUGACACGUAAUGGCGACAAAACACUUCCGGCCCCUGCUCAUCGGCCCCGUUAAUUUAUUAACAAUCAACUUCCGGUUGAUCCUUCUUUUCGGCAACGGCUACAAACUCGCCAACAUGCCACUCGCAAAGGACCUGUUGCACCCAACCUCAGAGGAGGAGAAGAGGAGUCACAAGAAGAAGCGUCUUGUACAGAGCCCUAACUCGUAUUUUAUGGAUGUCAAAUGUCCAGGAUGCUAUAAGAUCACGACAGUGUUCAGUCACGCCCAGACGGUCGUCCUGUGUGUCGGAUGCUCCACAGUCCUGUGUCAACCUACAGGGGGUAAAGCACGCCUCACAGAAGAUGAUGUGCCUCAUCGUGGAGUCUGACAUUCACCGCAGCACCAUGCAAUGCACCCUGGACUGACGAAGCAGACGCAGGAGGAAUGUGAUGCUCAUUCAGGAGGAAACAGCACUAGACUCAGCAUUGGAGCUUGUUGGACCGAGAGACGGGAUUGACCCCACAGUGACCCUGCUCAGGAAGUGACAAUGCGAGAGGAAAAGUGGAGAUGAAACUGAAGAGGAAAGAUGGUGUUGAGCUCUGCUUUGUGUAUGUAGAGAGAGAACGUCUCCUGGCAUGAUGACAUCACUGUAACACCACUCCACCGGUCUCUCACUUCUUAAUAAAGUGUAGUUUUUUCGUUUAAAGAA